AUACGUAGGUGGCAAGCGUUGUCCGGAAUUAUUGGGCGUAAAGCGCAUGUAGGCGGUUUGGUAAGUCGGUCGUGAAAAUGCGGUGCUUAACGCCGUAUGGCGAUUGAAACUGCUGAACUUGAGUGCAGGAGAGGAAAGGGGAACUCCCAGUGUAGCGGUGAAAUGCGUAGAUAUUGGGAAGAACACCGGUGGCGAAGGCGCCUUUCUGGGCUGUGUCUGACGUUCAGAUGCGAAAGCCAGGAUAGCAAACGGGAUUAGAUACCCCGGUAGUCCGGGCCGUAAACGAUGGGUACUAGGUGUGGGAGGUAUCGACUCCUUCCGUGCCGGAGUUAACGCAAUAAGUGCCCCGCCUGGGGAGUACGGCCGCAAGGCUUAAACUCAAAUGAAUUGACGGGG
rnacentral:rRNA from 1 species